UACGUAGGGUGCAAGCGUUAAUCGGAAUCACUGGGCUUAAAGGGCGCGUAGGCGGGCUAUCAAGUCCGGGGUGAAAUCCUCCCGCUCAACGGGAGAACUGCCUCGGAUACUGAUGGUCUCGAGGGGGAUAGGGGCACACGGAACUGUGGGUGGAGCGGUGAAAUGCGUUGAUAUCCAUAGGAACUCCGGUGGCGAAAGCGGUGUGCUGGAUCCCUUCUGACGCUGAGGCGCGAAAGCCAGGGGAGCGAACAGG
rnacentral:rRNA from 1 species